rnacentral:rRNA from 1 species
AUUGAACGCUGGCGGCAUGCCUUACACAUGCAAGUCGAACGGCAGCACGGGAGCAAUCCUGGUGGCGAGUGGCGAACGGGUGAGUAAUAUAUCGGAACGUGCCCAGUCGUGGGGGAUAACGUAGCGAAAGCUACGCUAAUACCGCAUACGAUCUAUGGAUGAAAGCGGGGGAUCGCAAGACCUCGCGCGAUUGGAGCGGCCGAUAUCAGAUUAGGUAGUUGGUGAGGUAAAGGCUCACCAAGCCGACGAUCUGUAGCUGGUCUGAGAGGACGACCAGCCACACUGGGACUGAGACACGGCCCAGAAUCCUACGGGAGGCAGCAGUGGGAAAUUUUGGACAAUGGGCGCAAGCCUGAUCCAGCAAUGCCGCGUGCAGGAUGAAGGCCUUCGGGUUGUAAACUGCUUUUGUACGGAGCGAAAAGGCUUCCACUAAUACUGGGGGCUCAUGACGGUACCGUAAGAAUAAGCACCGGCUAACUACGUGCCAGCAGCCGCGGUAAUAC